GCGUUAACGGGGUAGUGGUUACCCGGGUCGAUCGUGUAUUUCUUCGACCCGCGGGGGGUUCGAUUCCCCCUUAACGCA